GGGGAAAUCGCGGUCUUUUCCUCAUUACAGUAAAAGUUCUCAUUGAGGAAAUAAUACCGUAUCACUCUCGUGAUUAUUUCUCCCCUUUUUCAGGGGCGUAACAUUUUUGGAGGCUCCGCUGAGAUUGCUGCUCAGACGUCCAGUUUCCACAUCCUGGUUGCUGAAUUCCGAGCCAGCUAAAUCUCCACAUAACAACUCAGGCAGGCUGCAGUGAGGAAAGUGUUGCUGUUCGAGGGGAGCUGGAAGUUGGUGGUUAAGUACGUGUCAGCUGAGGCCAUUGAUCGACCAUCAGAGACAGUAAGGACCAUCUAAUUCAGAGUCAACUCCUGCACAGUAAAAGUUCCUCCUGUUCUGUCAACAUGACGACCGCCUUGGAAGAACUACAGGAAGAGGUAGUAGGAGAAUUGCACACCCUGACUAAAGACAAGUUACUAGAGAUAUGUGAUUUCCUUGACAUCUCAGGCGAACAGAGAAGAGAUGUUCAAGACAAAUCCCGCAUAUCAGUGAUGACUCACAUUAUGAUGUUCCUUGAAAGAGAGGAAGUUGCAGAGUUAGAAGAUGGCGGCAUGUCGGAAUUGUUGCUACUUAAAGACAAAAUGACAGAGAUGAUCAGUGGCAUAGAUAACGAAACAGGGCAAACUGACCAUGAUAUUGAAACAGCCGGAACACAUCACAGAAUAGAGGAACUGAGAACUGCAACCCCACAACAAGGGGUGGGAACUGAGCAGAUUACUACAGCCAAAGCCAGUGAUUCUCUGCGUCAGCCCCAACCCCAUGCUAAUCUUCAGUUAGGAGGCCAGAUAGGACCCCCAGCCACCUGUUUCCCAGCAGCACUAUUACAGCAACUACAGUCAGCCCCAAGCACCUGACCCUGCGCAGCAUCAAUAUGCACCUAACCUGUAUACCAACCGUUCUGCUCAAGCUCCAAGGAGGUGUUUUGUCUGCCAGCAGGCCAGAACAGAUGCACGCUGCACACACUGCUUCCGAUGUGGGAGUGGAGAACAUUUUCAAGCUGGAUGUAAAAUCCGGGGAGUCAGACCAUCAAGAGAGGCCCCUUUAAACGGGGAAGGGUUACCGCUGAGGGACAAGUGUUAACCGUAGCUACCAAAAAGUCCCAGAAAUGUGCAAAUUGUGCCCGAGAAGAUUCAUUUGAGAACCUGAAACAAUGUUCAUCAUGUAAAGAGACACUGUACUGUUCCAAAGUAUGUCAAAACCAACAUUGGACUAAACAUAGGGAAAAAUGCACUCACCUGAAAAUUGACUCUACCAGGGAAAGGUUUUCCUGCACAGAGGAAAAUGCCCACUCUUUACCAUCCCUAGCUCAAGGUUGCCACCCCCGUAAGGUCACCUCGCUAGUCGGCAGACAGUGCCUUAUUGAGUGUCACCUGAAUCGCCACCACCUCCAAGCUCUAUGGGACACAGGCUCUCAGGUAUCGGUCAUUGAUGAACGAUGGAAAGAGGAAUCUCUCCGAAACGCAAGGCUGAGAGAUGUUUCAGAAAUCCUGGACUCACCUGAUGGUCUAAGGUUGACUGCAUCAAAUGGGACUGAAAUGCCGUACCUGGGAUGGAUUGAAACAACUUUUCGGCUAGCCUCUGAAACUGACCAAACAAAGGAACUGAUCAUCCCAGUGCUGGUAAUGAAAGGCUGUCACCUAUCUCAUCCCAUCAUAGGUUUCAAUGUUAUCGAGCACAUCCUGACAAUGACCGACAAGACUAAACAAUACAGUACAGUAAAAACAGCUUUCCCAAGCCUCAAAAGAAACAAGGUGAGAGCUUUUAUACAGGCUGUUAGCGCAGAACAGACAGAUGAAUAUGCAGUGAAAACCAAGAAAGAGAAGGUUGCUGUACCAAAACACAGUAGCAUUCAGAUUGAGUGCCGUGUAGCUUCCCAGCCUUUCAAAGAGGACAUGACAAUGCUUUUCCAGCCAGACCUGAACCCGCAGUGGCCAGACGACCUUGAGUUCUUUGACACACGAG
rnacentral:lncRNA from 1 species